rnacentral:rRNA from 1 species
GACGAACGCUGGCGGCGUGCUUAACACAUGCAAGUCGAACGGAAAGGCCCUGCUUUUGUGGGGUGCUCGAGUAGCGAACGGGUGAUUAACACGUGAGUAACCUGCCCUUGACUUUGGGAUAACUUCAGGAUACUGGGGCUAAUACCGGAUAGGAGCUCCUGCUGCAUGGUGGGGGUUGGAAAGUUUCGGCGGUUGGGGAUGGACUCGCGGCUUAUCAGCUUGUGGGUGGGGUAGUGGCUUACCAAGGCUUUGACGGGUAGCCGGCCUGAGAGGGUGACCGGCCACAUUAGGACUGAGGUACGGCCCAGACGCGUAUGGUAGGCAGGAGUGGGGAAUCUUGCACAACGAGCGGGAGCCUAAUGCAGCAACGCCGCGUGCGGGAUGUGGGCCUUCGGGUUGUGAACCGCUUUCGCCUGUGACGGGACGUGAAUGACGGUAAUGGGUAAAGAAGCACCGGCUAACUACGUG